UUCAGUGUGGCAUAGUGGUUCAAGCAUUGGACUAUGACUCUGGAGGCCAGGGUUCAAUUCCCAGCUUGGCCA